GACGAACGCUGGCGGCGUGCUUAACACAUGCAAGUCGAACGAUGAAGCUGGAGCUUGCUCCGGUGGAUUAGUGGCGAACGGGUGAGUAACACGUGAGCAAUCUGCCCUUCACUCUGGGAUAACUGCGGGAAACUGUAGCUAAUACCGGAUACGAGGCUUGGAGGCAUCUCCAGGUCUGGAAAGAAUUUCGGUGAGAGGAUGAGCCCGCGGCCUAUCAGCUUGUUGGUGGGGUAAUGGCUCACCAAGGCGACGACGGGUAGCCGGCCUGAGAGGGUGACCGGCUCCACGGGGACUGAGAGACGGCCCAGACUCCUACGGGAGGCAGCAGGGGGGAAUAUUGCACAAUGGGCGAAAGCCUGAUGCAGCAACGCCGCGUGAGGGAUGAAGGCCUUCGGGUUGUAAACCUCUUUUAGCAGGGAAGAAGCGAAAGUGACGGUACCUGCAGAAAAAGCACCGGCUAACUACGUGCCAGCCGCCGCCGUAA
rnacentral:rRNA from 1 species